GAUUGUUUAAUCAGUUCCCUAACUGGCUAGCAAUGAUUUCAGUGAGGACGAGUCUGCCUGGAUUCUAACUGAAGAUUCCUACAAGCAAGAGGAGGGAAGAUGUUGCUUUUGACUCAGCAGACUGGAUAGAUUUGGUGAUCAAAGACUCUAACCAAGACUCAGCCCAAGUUUUAGUGUGCUUUAAGAGUAGCUGUGGAGACUACAAACUGCAUCAUGUUGGGAGAACAUCCUGGUAUCUGUAAGGAAGGCCCUCCCAGCAGGAAGUUUUCAGCACUGACUGAAGCUGCGAGCAUGAGGUUGGCAAGCAGAGAGGAGGCUGUUGGAGGGCAAUCCUGUUCUGUGUUUCUUUAAAGAAUAAAACCUUGUUCCUGGUUGUUUGUCGGAGUGGGUCUAGUCUGAGAUUCCUAGAUGGUUACUGGAACACCACUGGGUACUGUUGACAACUACUCCAGGGAGUACUACUCCACUGAACUUUAAUUAGUAGUGAAAUAUAACCACCAGUAAGUCAAACAGGACUACAGCUUGUUCUUGUAAAAUUUCAAAUCAAUGUCUCACAACUCCCGCUGAGUCAGUAAU